UCCGCCCCGCCCAUACAAGAACUGCAAGGAAGGAGCUGGGGAGGAAAAGAGGCUUGAGGGGUAUGGGGUUGUUGGGGGGUGGGAAGGGCAGGGUCAGAUAUUGUUCAGCUUUUGCCUGAGUCCCCCUGGAGCAUGGCUGCUCAUUUGAAAUUCCGAUUUAAAGCCGAGCAAGCAAGCAGCUCUUUAAAUUUCUGCAUUAGCAUGCCGCCCGGAUGCCAGGCCAAGAUGUUGGGAUGGAUUUGGCAGGAACGCCUCCAACAGUGGCAGGCGGUGGUGUUUGCCAGCAAUAAAACAACGAAUGAAUAAAAGAAGGCUCGAUUGGCAGUGACUGAGGCCCAGGUAGCUUGGUGAGCUGGGGGGGGGGGAGGCAGCACUAGUAUGUGCUAACACAUGUAUGUAUUUAUGUAUGUGCAGUGAGGGCUUCCGUCUCUGCCUCUGGUUGACUCCUGUUUGCUCACUAUCUAAUCUAGGCCUGCAGUGGAAUGUGGGGUGAAGGCACGGGUUGGCUUGGGGCCCCUUCCCCUCGGUUUCUCCUCUCCCCCCUCGGGGGGGGGCGAUAUUUCUUCUUGGAAGGGACAGAUGCUGCUUUUGAUGAGGACAUGGAGACUUGGCUAAUGGCCUAGGCUGCCCGACUUCAUUAGGGACCUGAAAACAGGUGGGGUCAGAGGAGAGCAAUAUUCUGCCCAGCCCCCCCCACCCUCUCCACCCCAGUGGCUUCCAAAGGCAUAGCUCCAGAGAUUUGCAGAGGAAGGCAGGGCAGUGUGGAGGGGACAUGGGGAGGAGGGGGACAGGUGGUGAUUGGAGGGGAGUGGCAACACCUUCACCAACCAGCCUCCUUACCCUAUAGAAUUGAUCCUUCCCUCACCUUCUGAGCCUUGGGGGGCCAGAGCAGAUUUUGUGCACCAAAGCUAGGGUUCAGAAGGAUGAGAGGCAAAGAACAAGAAGAGGUGGUAAGGUUGGUUGGGGGGAAGGAUAUCUGAGAGAAGGGGAAGAGGAAAAGGGAUCAUUGAGAAGCCUAAUAUGUCCCAGCCCGAUCCACCUAACUGCACUCACCCCGCCCCCAACUGCUUUUCCUAUCUCCUCUUCCUCCUCCUCUCCCCUACCCAGACAGCCCAAUCUUAAUUAAAGGGUGUAUGGGUGGGCGGGGGAGGCAGUUUGGGUUGACAGAGCUCAGACUAUAGGAGCAGCAAAGGCCUUGACAGAAGACUGGAUACUUUCCAGAGGUCAUCUGAUCUGUCACAAUGAAGGCAGCCCAGACUUCUUUUACUUACCUCCUUACUGGUUCUUCAUAUUCCCUUGGCCUUCCUCCUGCCAUGCCUGCCACCCAGCUUGGGACUCAGUUCUCAUCUCCCCAGACAUCUCCGAGGCAACAGAGACAACUUGGAAUAGGGGUGAGGGUGGUGUUUUAGGAGGCAGAGAGGAAGAGAGGGCAUUGGGCAGCUUCUUCUGCGUCCCUCUGGCCCCAGUUCCCUGAACCCAAAGUCCAGCGUUGUGGAGACCAGAGAAUGAAGAUAUAGAACAUUAACGUAUGUCAAAUAUAAGCCCACCCGAGGUUUGUGAUCCUGCCAAGCCAAGCCUGUCUGCUGCCAGGAAGAGAUGAGAUGGUAAGG